UCUGAUACCAAAUGAAAUAUAAGUUAUGCAACCCAAGAGGGGGUGAAUUGAGUUUUUAAAAUUUAAGUUAAGCAAAUCACACAAUAAUUCAAUCUAAUGCCUUAAUGAAAUCGAAAGCAAUAAAUUCAGUAAAUCACAAAAAUAAAAGGGUAAGGGAAGAUAAAACAAAUACAAGGAUUUUUACGUGGUUUGGCAAUCCCCGCCUACGUCCACACCUCCAAGCACACCGGGCUUGAGGAUUUCAUGAUCCAAGUCUUCC
rnacentral:lncRNA from 1 species